rnacentral:rRNA from 1 species
UACGUAGGGGGCAAGCGUUGUCCGGAUUUAUUAGGCGUAAAGAGCGUGUAGGCGGUUAGGUAGGUCCGUUGUGAAAACUCGAGGCUCAACCUCGAGACGCCGAUGGAAACCAUCUGACUAGAGUCCGGAAGAGGAGAGUGGAAUUCCUGGUGUAGCGGUGAAAUGCGCAGAUAUCAGGAAGAACACCCGUGGCUAAGGCGGCUCUCUAGUACGUGACUGACGCUGAGACGCGAAAGCGUGGGGAGCGAACAGG